UACGUGGGGAGCAAGCGUUGUCCGGAAUCAUUGGGCGUAAAGCGCGCGUAGGCGGCCUGUAAGUCCGUUGUGAAAGUCAAAGGCUCAACCUUUGAAAGCCGAUGGAUACUGCAGGGCUAGAGUCCGGAAGAGGCGAGUGGAAUUCCUGGUGUAGCGGUGGAAUGCGCAGAUAUCAGGAGGAACACCGGUGGCGAAGGCGGGUCUCUGGGCCGUAACUGACGCUGAGGAGCGAAAGCGUGGGGAGCGAACAGG
rnacentral:rRNA from 1 species